rnacentral:rRNA from 1 species
CGUAGGCAGCGAGCGUUGUUCGGAGUUACUGGGCGUAAAGGGUGUGUAGGCGGUUAUUUAAGUUUGGUGUGAAAUCUCCCGGCUCAACCGGGAGGGUGCGCCGAAUACUGAAUGACUUGGAGUGCGGGAGAGGAAAGUGGAAUUCCUGGUGUAGCGGUGAAAUGCGUAGAUAUCAGGAGGAACACCGGUGGUGUAGACGGCUUUCUGGACCGUAACUGACGCUGAGACACGAAAGCGUGGGUAGCAAACAGGAUUAGAUACCCUGGUAGUCCACGCCCUAAACGAUGCAUAUUUGGUGUGGGCAGUUCAUUCUGUCCGUGCCGGAGCUAACGCGUUAAAUAUGCCGCCUGGGGAGUACAGUCGCAAGGCUG